AAAAAAAAACAUGCAAUUCAAAGUGUAGUUGAAGGAAAAAUCAUUACUAGUUACAACCACUAGGCGAAAGCCAGUGCCAUAAUUUGGAGCCUUCAAAGGCUUGUUUUACAACACAAAUCUCAACUAAAAGAACAAUCUUAAUUUAGUGUUCAGUAAACAUUACCCACGGAGGGUGUAGUUCAAGAAUCAAUUGAUGAAAUUCGUUGGCCAUAUGAGGGUUUAUCAAGAAAUUUUGGUAUGGGAGUUUUAGGCAGGUGUGGUAGAUAUUGAUGAUUGUUU
rnacentral:lncRNA from 1 species